CCCAGCCAGUUCCUGCUGGUGAACAGAGUGUCUACGUCCGCCCACGCCUUCAGCUUCGCCCUCGCUGCCAACGCUGUCACGAAGUACUGCUUCUCUGCAAUCUGAGGUCAAAGGUCACGACCGUCAGGUACCAGAUUUAAGACGCUCAUCCACUCACUGUGACCUGACCGGAGCCCCGCCCACUCCGACCGGAGCCCCGCCCACCCGCCCGGCUCCAUCCAUCCCUGGUGUGAAACAGCUGCACGGCUUCCGGCGCGGUGUCUCCUGGGAGUUGUAGUGAACCGGAGGUUUGGACUGAGAACAGCUGAAGUCUCCGCCUUAUACUCUGACGGUUCCCAACCUGAGGUCUGGGCCCCCCCCACAGGUCAGAGGAUGA